GUUCAGGUAAGUUUUCUGGUGGUCAGAUAUGACAGUAACCAAUGGGAAGGCAUCAUCGCCCUCCAGUCCAACGUUAAAACUACAUCGUGCGGAGUUGCGUCACAAAGUGUAAUGCAUUCUCCAAACUAGUGCCGUUUGAUUCUCCGAUCUCUGCCGUUUUUAGUCUGUGUAAACAUAUUUAUUUACAGUAUAAGAUUAGUGUCUUUACGUGGUGUGGUGCUAGAAGUGAAAUUAAGAAAAGUUAAUUAAUUUAAAUUGUCAGACACGUAUCUUUGUCUGCGCUGCAGUUUUAAACGUAGAUCGGCCUUACAAUUUGCGAGUUAAGCAGCGAGUGACCACCAGACUUUUAUGUCCGCUCUUAUCGCCCAGGCAGCCCUAUUAUUAAAUAGUAUAAAAGGAAAGGAAGAAAACAAUAAUGUUUAACAUAAUGCAUUCGGUAAAUAAAAGUAAACGAAAAACAAACAAUUUACAUGUGAACAACGGUGGUCCGCGGAACACCUGUUGAGAAACAUUGCUGCAGUCAGUGUAACAAUAACAUGAACCGAAAUACGGGUGUGUCAAAGAAUUUCAAAAGGAAAUCUGUGAAAGUCUGUUAUAGUGGAGCAAGAAGAAAUAAGAUUCACAUACAAGCAUGCAGUUUCCCUUAUAAACAAUCCAGAUAUACGAGUGAAGCACGUGUCCUUAUGAGCUUUUACUUCCAUAUCUGUCACCCCUUAUGGAUAUGUUUUCAUUUACAAAACCGAGAGUUGCUGCUGUGAUUCGUAAUAAUGUACUUUAAGCAAUUUGUGGUACAUUACUAGUGUGAAGAGUUUAUUUAAAUGUUUAAAUUUCAUUCAAUAUAAUGUAUUUUUAUUUUAUAAUUAGCGGGAUAGCGUACGGUAGAAGGAACAGCCACUACGCAGUCGCAUGGCUAGUGCACGUGGUGAUUUGGAGUGCAGUACUGUGCUAUCCAAAGAAAACAGGUGUUGGUGAUUUCUUGAAGUUUAAUUAGUGUUUUUCAACAGAAUGGAUAAUUUUGCUUAUGCCAAACGAACACUGCUCGCGUUUAUCAAAUAUUCCAACGUAGCAGCCACAAGCGCAAUGCUUCACUCAUAUUUGGAAGCACUAUCGUAGAGAAGAGAAGAAAUAAUACAUGCUUGUCUUCUUCCCUGGUGCGUGGAGGAUGGAAAAUAUUGCCUACUUAAUGCAAGACGCAACAGAAUCAUAACGAAAUAUGUAGCUGUUUCUAAGUGACGUAACUAUGGCAUCUGGCAGACUGAAAAAUCUGAAAUAGAGAUAAUAAGUCACUUACAGCUUCAGCAUCUGGUGCUUCAAUUCUUGGGAUGUGCUGGAGACUGACAGGUGCAACUGGAGAUGGAAGUUCAACAUUUACGAGAAGAGUUAAAACAAAAAGACUUUCUUCGGCGUAGUCAGAAAUCGCAGCUUACGGUUCUAGAAGAGCAGCUUCAAGCAGCCAGAGGUAUCAUGGCGCAGCAAAAAACAGAACAAGACAAGGAAUUGAGCAGGAGGGAUGAGAGACUGCAACAGUGUGAACAAGAAUUGCUACAUAUGACAAUGUUAGACACUGCAAAUAAUGCUAGUAGAAACCAAGUGGCGGAACAGGUUAAAGUCAUUGAGUAUAUGAAAAGUGAAAAUGAGAGGAAGAACAUGGACAUUGCUGGACUUACAGAGAAAUGUAAUUCAAUGGAAGCACUGAUUAAUGGGUUAAAAUUGGCUGUUUUAAAUCAUGAAGCUGAAAAAGUACUCAGAGACGUUCGACAGAGUUUAUAUGAAGAUGAGAUAAAGUGUGUGGCUGAAUUAAAAGGGCAGCUAGACAGGACCAAGCGGAUGAUGGUAUUUAGAGAUGAAGAAAUAGAACGUCAUAAAGCUGCCUUAGUUUUGGCGGCCAGUGAAAUUGAUGCAUGCAGAAAUCGUUACUUGGAAGUUGUUGAGAGGAUUGAGGUUCUUCAAGCAGAAGAAUGUCUUCAGAAGGAAGUUAACGUAGUUAAGUAUACACAGAACUUCACCGAUGAUGUGGUUAUACAAGCAAUUAGUACAGCUCAUGAAUGUGCUGCCAAAGAUACAAUGUUGGUGAAACCCAAUAAUGGCCAUCACUGCACUGAAAGUGCCUCAUUAUUAAUCCCAUUACUUGAGAGGAUGGACAGGUAAUUGUUUUUUUUCUAUAUUUGGUUAUAUAUUACAUGAUUUAUCUGUCAUGAGAGACAGAAAAAAAUGUGGUUAUGUAAUAAAUUAAAACAACAAUUACCUGUCCAUCCUCUCAAGUAAUGGGAUUAAUAAUGAGGCACUUUCAGUGCAGUGAUGGCCAUUAUUGGGUUUCACCAACAUUGUAUCUUUGGCAGCACAUUCAUGAGCUGUACUAAUUGCUUGUAUAAUUGAAAAGUUUCGUUGUAAAGAGUAGGCCUAUUAAAUAUUAGUUUUUUAAGGUUAAGGAUGGGAUAAUGUUGAAUAUUGGGCUUUGUUUGCUGUUAGCGGUGUGGAACUUUCGAGUUAUGCUACGAGAAAGUUCCUUAACAUAAAUGUGUGGCAUUUCUUGAGUAACUCAGCAGUUAUCAGCUUUUCAAAAAAAAAAACUACAUACCAUAGAGACGGUUCGUAUAAAUUAUCACAAGUAAGCAACGAACAUCAGAGGCUUAUGUAACUUAUUUUGUACUUGUUGGCUGCGAACAUCAAGUCCAUAAAACACACAAAUUUGGCAAAGUAAGAUUAUUGCAUGUCUUGUGCGGAAUAGGGUCGUUUCACCCUUUAUAUAUACGUUGUAAGUUAUAUAUUUUUUUCUAGGGUGGGGAGUAAAAUAAAAGUCACGUAAUUAAGUUGUAAAUCAAGCAAGCGUGCACCCAGAGCCUUAUCUGUAUCACGCAUCCCUCGUCUGGAAACACAUAAAUUUAAUUCUCAAGAAUGGCCCGAGUUUUAUUGCCAGAUGCUCUUUGGCCACUACCAUAUUAUGUGUCAAGAUAUUCUGACGUCAACUUCAAUAAGACAAGAGCUGACCUCGCGUUGGUUCUGCAGCUAAAGCUGUUCCCGGGUUUCGAACUGUUUUAUUUGUAACCAAUAGGAAUGCACUACUGAGAUUUAAUGAAUUGAAUAUAUAUUUUGAGCUUUCGUUACCUCCUGAACAUUACUUCAUGUGAACUGUUUUGUACGUCAUUAUAUACAAAAUCUGUACACUAUCUUAUAAAUCACACUGGAUUACGCUGGCAAGUAUGUGAUAUAUUGGAAAUAAUUAUGACAGUGUCAGCGAAAGUUUAAUAUGCUAUAGUUAGAAUAUGUUUGCUGCUGGGACUGAGUUUUCGUGGAAAGACUGACGUCUCAGCUUUACUCCCGGAACAUUCUAGGUCCCUUAAUAGUUGCUCUGAAAUACUUCAUGGUAGCUUGUGUAUUCCGUUAGUUGUUGAUACAUUUGUAUUGCGUACUCUUGCUUCUCGUUCCAUGCUCUUGCAGAAAUAAUAACACAAUUAGAAGAGCUAGGUUUACAAAAUACGGGAAGCAAUAUUUUCUAAGUCUACGUUUUUAUAGAGACUUAGACCUCAAUUUUUAUUCCUCGAGGCUGGCACCCUUGCCCGAGAUAACUAAUUACAAGAUUUUCCCGAAUAAUAAUAUUAGAGAUUUAACUUCAAUCAUUAUAACAGCAAAGGGCUAUAUUUAAAAUAGCGUUAUUAAUAAACACCCAUAAUGUUUGGGGUUGUUUUAGUCUAUUCUGAUACUAAAAUGCCCUCAUGGAAGCUAAGAGUUUGCUCAGCUAGUCAGCAAAUUCUACGGAGACUUGAGUUUUAUUGUUAUGUUCGCCACUGGACUCCGUUAAAAUAACACGUCCAUAUCUGAAGCCCUCUCAUUUCGCAAGGUGGCAGUUUUUAUCGUGAGAUUCUCCAGCCUCCCUCCUAAUUCCGACACUCCAGGAUAUUUACUACAUUCGCACCUUCCUUCCACCUGGAUAUUUUGUCCUCCGCCCGAAACUAAAUUCCAAUCAAACAUACCUAAAACGCGA